GGAAACAGGUGCUAAUACCGUAUAACACUAUUUUCCGCAUGGAAGAAAGUUGAAAGGCGCUUUUGCGUCACUGAUGGAUGGACCCGCGGUGCAUUAGCUAGUUGGUGAGGUAACGGCUCACCAAGGCCACGAUGCAUAGCCGACCUGAGAGGGCGAUCGGCCACACUGGGACUGAGACACGGCCCAGACUCCUACGGGAGGCAGCAGUAGGGAAUCUUCGGCAAUGGACGAAAGUCUGACCGAGCAACGCCGCGUGAGUGAAGAAGGUUUUCGGAUCGUAAAACUCUGUUGUUAGAGAAGAACAAGGAUGAGAGUAAAAUGUUCAUCCCUUGACGGUAUCUAACCAGAAAGCCACGGCUAACUACGUGCCAGCAGCCGCGGUAAUACGUAGGUGGCAAGCGUUGUCCGGAUUUAUUGGGCGUAAAGCGAGCGCAGGCGGUUUCUUAAGUCUGAUGUGAAAGCCCCCGGCUCAACCGGGGAGGGUCAUUGGAAACUGGGAGACUUGAGUGCAGAAGAGGAGAGUGGAAUUCCAUGUGUAGCGGUGAAAUGCGUAGAUAUAUGGAGGAACACCAGUGGCGAAGGCGGCUCUCUGGUCUGUAACUGACGCUGAGGCUCGAAAGCGUGGGGAGCGAACAGGAUUAGAUACCCUGGUAGUCCACGCCGUAAACGAU
rnacentral:rRNA from 1 species